rnacentral:rRNA from 1 species
GGAUGAACGCUGGCGGCGUGCCUAAUACAUGCAAGUCGAGCGAACAGACGAGGAGCUUGCUCCUUCGACGUUAGCGGCGGACGGGUGAGUAACACGUAGGUAACCUACCUAUAAGACUGGGAUAACUUCGGGAAACCGGAGCUAAUACCGGAUAAUAUUUCGAACCGCAUGGUUCGAUAGUAAAAGAUGGCUUUGCUAUCACUUAUAGAUGGACCUGCGCCGUAUUAGCUAUUUGGUAAGGUAACGGCUUACCAAGGCAACGAUACGUAGCCGACCUGAGAGGGUGAUCGGCCACACUGGAACUGAGACACGGUCCAGACUCCUACGGGAGGCAGCAGUAGGGAAUCUUCCGCAAUGGGCGAAAGCCUGACGGAGCAACGCCGCGUGAGUGAUGAAGGUCUUCGGAUCGUAAAACUCUGUUAUUAGGGAAGAACAAACGUGUAAGUAACUGUGCACGUCUUGACGGUACCUAAUCAGAAAGCCACGGCUAACUACGUG